rnacentral:misc_RNA from 1 species
AGUCAAGUAGUUCUGCACUACGUUUUUAUGGGACUGGACAAGACUGUUCAGGAAUACACAGGGAAGGAUAACACCAGUGAACUCUUAGAACUCAUGCAAGUGCUGGACAAGGAUGGUCACCCAAAGGAUAAGGAACAACAGUGGGAUGUAGAUCAAGUGAUCAACAAAGUGAACAAGCUACAUGAAGUUUACAAUGAAGUGACUCUUGAUGAUGUACCUUCACAGAGCCUCAAAUCAACUGAGGUGUGGUCACACAUGCUGGACAAACUGGAUGGAGAGUCGGCUGUAGCCAGCGUAAACCGCAUGGCCAAGGCAGGUCUACUCAGCCAGAGUGCAGACAACACCAAUGUCCUUCCCAAUAAGCUGGUUGACCGCUUGACUCAUUCUGAUGUUGCUUCAAGCCCUGUGACUCCAGCUGUUGCUCUCAUGGCUCUUCAUGCUUAUGAGCACCCAUCCAGAUUCUCCAGCGAGGCCUGUGGCAAAGUGUACGAGAAGAAGUCCUGCAAGUCUCCAAGAGCCCCUACGAAAGCUCCCCUCAAGAAGUCAACCAAAGUAAACCAGAGUGUUGUUGAUGCUCUUCACAAGCUCAUUGCUGGAAGUUCCAAGAAUAUUGAAAAGACAGCAAAGAAGCUAGCAAUUGUUGUUGAUGUUCGAGGCUACAUGAGCACAAGCCAUGUGUGGACAGGUAACCCAGAAGGCAAAGGGGAGGUAACAGGACACGAAGGAGCUGCUGUGAUUGUGCUCACCCUCACUUCCGGUGGAACUUGCCCGGUUGUGAACACCCUGGCCUUCUCUGGCACUGGAGUAGCUGAAGUGCCUGUUACGGAGGGGAUAACUCUCUUGCAGCUGGUGGAAAAAUUCAAGGAGACGGUGAUAGGUGAGGUCAGUGUUGAUGCUGCUCUGAAUUGGGCCCAAGAGAAAAAUAUGGAGACCGUCGUCGUCAUCACCCACAAGCUCGACCAGCAAGCCAUCUCUGCUGCUGCCCAGUCCCUCAAGCAGAUCAAUGAUAAAAACAACACACAAAUGAGAUUGGUGUUGUGUGGACUAGGGACAAAGCACCUGCAUACCCAGCGAACAGAGAACUUCCUUCUUGUGCUUGGAUUUGAUCAGCGAACACCCAGCAUCAUCAGAGCCUACCAUGAGAGGCUCUUUUAAGAUGGGGACAAUGUUAGCCUUCUGUUUUUUUUAUCGCAGGAGAGAGUUGCUGUGACCAGCAGUUGGAGGGAGAUCUGAACCACAGUUGUUAUUUGCAGAUCGACCUCAGCUCUAAGGCAUGGGAUUAUGACUAGCAAAGUUUAUAGUAGGCCAUUGUAAGUGAGGUUGUUGGGCAGUCAAGGCAUUUGUGACUUUCUCAACAAACCAUAACAAUUGAAAGAAACCUCAUUCUUGAAGAGUGUGAUCUCAUUUUCAGAUUUAAGAUUCAGGAGAUCUUGUUGCGCCUUUGAAUCCAAGUUUUUCAAGUGUAAGGGGUUCAGUGCAGUGCUUGAAAAGCAUAGGAUUUUCAAGUGGAAUUAACUGCAUGGUCCUUAUGACAAAGCAUAGCACAGACUGAGCUAGAUUUUUGGUGCCUUCACAAAAUUUUUCCAGAUAUUUAGUGCUCGGUCAUUUUGUAGAAACAUUUUCUCAUGUGAAGAGUGAGUAGGACAAUGUUUUGAAAGAUCUGAAAGUAUUUUGUGACCAACACAUUUGUCUAUAAAAUGUACCCAAAUAUACCUGAUAUUUGCGGGUUGAGCUUCUUGUUCUGAACUCCAGAGGGUAGCAUAUAUUGGUCUAGAAACUUUUUGAAAUAAAGAUUAGCUUUAAUGAUGCUAAAUAGCUAUGUACCGUAGAUUCUGUUAGGUACAAGGGCUCAUUAUGCCAUUUUAGAAUAAUUCAAAUUUAGGUGAUAUUUUUUGAGUAAUUAGUGCUGGUAAUAUCCAUCCACAUACGUAGGCAGAUGUAAGGAUUAUGACUGCCAUUUGAUUUAAGUAUAGAAUUUUAUUCCAGAUAUAUUUUGGAGAAAAGUGUACGUGAAACUUGUACAAAAUUCCAGUACGUGUUAAGUGUAUUCUGAACUACAAAAAGAUCUACUUCCAGAUCUUGUUGUUUCGGUUUCCCUCGUUUCUACUAGCCCUUCUGUAGCUCUUUCAGGACCCAAUCUUACAAAAGUGGCAUGAUAUUCAAAGCUGAUUGUUAUAAAGCCAAACCAAUGCUUGAAAGACUGUGGUAAGAUACAAACAUUAAGCUAGCUUUGAUAUUAACUACAUGCAAAUUUGAAUUCAUUUUGUGUUGUUUUCUAGAGUCCUGUCCAUCGAGGAUGCUGUGGAUUUGCAUUAGUUGAUUUUUUAAAUUCAGUUUUAUUUGAAUUUUUCCGAAAUAGUGAUUAUUGUGAAGCUAUAAUGUUCAGAAAUAUGGAGUGGUACACAUAUCAUAGAUGCUUCACAUUUGGAGUCGAAGAACUACUAAAAUGUAAUAAGGCUAUUACAGAAAAUGUCAGUUUACAAAAGAAUAGAAAUGAAUAACAUUUCAUUAUUAAUAUUGUUGUAAAGUCUUGUACAUCUUUUCAUAAUGAAAAAAGAGAGAACAAAUUACUCAAAUUUUACAUUUUUUAAUGACAAUCAAACCACUGAUGUAUCAUUUUUUUAUAAGAGUAAUCCAAGUUGUUUGGCUGGGAACUUCAAGAGACUAGAUGUUUUUGAAUUGUAGAUCUGAGUCUGUGCCAUGAUAUUGGCUGACUUUUGUAAGUGGAGAAGACUAUAUUUAGGAACAUUCAUAUAAUGUGCGACUUAUCUAUACAACAAAUGACAGAUCUAGAAAGAUUGUGUGAUGAUAUCAAGUGAAGUAAUAUAAUUUGUAUAAAUUGCGGCUAGAAAAAUGUGAAUUGUUUCUGGUGUAGAAAACUGCAGACUCCAAGGGCAGUAGAGAGCACUUGAAAUUCAUUUGUGAUGGAUGAAAAUACUCCCUUUAAUUUAUGUUUAGGAUCUUUGGUGUAGUUAUGGAACGAUAGUGUGUAGCUUAUAAGUAUUUAAUGGAAAGAAUGAAAAAUUUGCUCGUGCUAUUAGUGUUGAUGGAUAAUGGAAGCCUUAGCAACUGUCAGUGUUGGUUGAGGUGAUCUGUCAAGGGAAUAGAUACAGAAAGUGGUGUGUCUUAAUUUAGUUGUAUAUAUUUUUCAGCUGCCAUUUCAAUAAGAUCUGACUAAUUCCAAUUAAUGAAAUUUAGUAGAUGGGAUAAAUUAAUAAAUAUGAAGUUUAACUUAAAGACUGACUAAUAUUCUGCUGGAGGUUGGUAAUCCAUUGUGUUAAGAAGUCAAAGAAAAUCUUUGGUGUUGUGCUAGUCAUUUAAAAAAGGGAAAGAUGGAAAUUGUGCAGCAUUUUCCCUUUUGCUCACAAGUUGCACAUAGUUCAUCUGCUUCUUGUGCUGAGUCUAAGUAAUUUUUUUUCAUUUGAGAUAUCCAUUUUGCAAAGAAUAAUCAUUUACAUACUUCAGACUGAGUGCAAACUGUAAAAGAAACGACUGCAUGUACUAAGAAGUGUAUGAAAAAAGCAUUCUUUAAAAGUGAAUUUGAUAUGUAAAUAUUUUAUUUUUUUCUAAAACUGGAAUUCUGUAAAGGGAGUGAUUUUUUUUUUCCAUUUUGUGAAUAUAAAGGAAGAAGGAUUUUACCCAGUGGAAAGCAGUUGAUGACAUCACAUCAUCAUAGGUCAGAACAAGAGCACUUACUAAUGAAACAAUGUCUGUUAUGCCCUUUUCUGAUGAUUGCUCCUUCAUUCAGCAUACUAUUUGCUUGAAGGCACUUGACAUAAUUCUUCAUGCUCAAGCUUUUGUGCUAAAUUACCAUCUAAUGCACCAGAGGAAAGUCAGGAAAAUAGAAAGAGCAAUAUACUAACUUGUGAUGGAUUCAUGAGGUGAAUUGGUAUGGAUAUGGAACAUCCAUGAGGUUAGGUUGUCUCUUGUUUCCAGAUCCUAUUUUAAUGGAUUUUAUGGUGCUGUAAACGUGUGUUAAGGCCAUUCAAGUAACAAUACUGAUAUUAGAGAAUUGUUCUCUAAAUAAUGCAUAUAUCUUAGGUAUAUGUGUAUAAGAGUAACACUAUGGGAAGAGGAAACCAUAGACCUCAAGUGAUUGACAAAAAAGGAUAAAAAGGCAUUCCUCAAUAAUGUCUGCACUUGAAGAUGUUGCUUGUAGGCUUGUGUACCUCGGAUAAUUUGUGGUUCUAACCCAGCUCACUAUCACUUACCUUAUGCUGAGAAAAGAGAAGAAUGAGAAAAUCAUGUAAAAUGGAAGUGUUUAUAAGAAAAACAUACCUGUUGUGCUCAUAAAGUGUAAGUAUUGAAAGUAAUUAAACUGGGAAAAAGUGCAAUUUUUGAAGAGAAGAUAUUUUUUAAGGAUUCAAGGUGAGUAGAAAAGUUGAUUGUGUAAUAACAGUGAAUAUAUUGGCUUCAUUGGGAAAAAAAAAAAAAAAGCAAAAUGAUAUCUCCUGAAUAGGAUUAUUAAUCAGUAUUUAUCAAGAUCUGAUUAUGAUUAGGCCAAUAGAAAUCUGUCAUAUAGUCCCGUAUUUAGUACAGAGCUGAGGCUAUCUUGUAAGACAAUUGAAUGAACUUGUGCAUUUGUUCAGAACCAUCAUCCAAUGUGAUAAUUUUAUUAAAGGGGCAUCACUUGCCAAUUGCAUGCCUGUGGGAUAUCAGGGUGGAAAAUUUAAACAAAAACCUGAAUGUGAAAUGCCAGUGAAAGUUGGUGAUAUUACUGAAGUGUCUAUUGUUUUUGCAUCAAGAAACCUGGCAAAAGAAAAAGCUUUAACCUGUUUUGAACUUCUUGUUGUAUGUCAUGAUAAGAAAAUGAUUUGCAUUUUAUAUGAUUUCUUGCAUUUCUUGUUUUUGUUCCGAGCAUUUUAUGUUUUGUGUUGUAUUUUAUAUAUUCUCUUUGGUAUGUAUCAUUUUAAAUCUAUGAAUCCACUUGGUUGCAUGUUUUGUGUAGUAGCAGCAUUUUUAUUGCUUUGUAAUGUUGAUUUCAAUGCUGUAUCAACUUUAUUUUUUAUCAUUUUUAUUCUCUUGUAAGGAGAAUGGUGAGUAAUAACUAUUGAAAUGGGCCAGAUACAAACAUGGUAAAUAUAAGGCAUUUACGAGCAUGGCAUUUUUUGUGUAUUAAGGAAAUUUGGUUUAUUAAUGCUGUGUUUAGUCAGAUUCUCUUGUCAUGUUCGUUGUUAAUCAAAUGAUGAUGCCUCUAGUCUUCAGAUUGCGUUGCAAUUUUAUGUUUGCGCUUUAGCUUAAAGAGAAAAGGAAAAAAAAUAUUUUUGGGUUUACGAUCAUACAUUUCUACAAAGGAUUAUGUAUGGUCUGUUUUCUCUCGUUUUUAAAUUUUGUUUUGUGAGUUAUAUAUUGUAAAAAAAUAUCCAACAGUUUUGACUUGCGCUUUUAUAUAGGUAUAGAUGAAUUAGAUGAUAUUAGGGUUAUAAAGUGCAGGUUUCAAAAAUAUUCUUGUUCACAAAUUUAGCAAGUAAACCUAUUUGAAAAUUGUCUGCAAAUUUACAUAUUGAUUCCCAAGUGAAGUUGAAAUAAUUGUACAUGUUAUCAGAGAAUCUUUGGAAAUUAAUGCAGGCAAAUAUGGAUUAGUGUCAAGGACAUUUGUCUUUUUUUUCGUUAAUGAAAAUGCUAAAAUUUGCAAGCUUUAAAUAUGGUGCAUUGUUGUAUAUUGGGAAAACAUAGGAAGAAGUGAGAGAUAAAGUCUCUGGCAGAAAGGCACUUCAGUAGAGAUUGUUCUCUGGGAAUAACAAACACAAGAGAAGCCCUAUUGUUCAAUGCUGUAUGUAAGUGCAAGCAAUCAUCUAUGUUACGUAUGCAGGAAUAUAUAUAUAUUGUCUUAUAAAAGAUGUAGAAUAAUCAUUGUUUGAAUACCUUUUUAGGCAGCUUUUAGAAGGUAAUGCUUAUUAUUUAAAUAUUUAUGCAUCUCACCAGAAUAACUAGCAUUUAAGACAUUUUUUUUUUUUUUACUUGUGGUUUACUUUGCAUUUUGGAACCAAAAUAUGCAAAGGUAAAUAAAGUUGUUGAACUGAAAGGUAGGGUUUGGUCAACUGGAACUAUCACUCGAGAAAAAAAAUCAGCGGAGCACAUGUAGUUGCUUUGUGAACACAGGUAUCUUGAAAGGGAAAAAUGUAAUAUUGGAGCAAUAGGUUCCUGGAAGGUUUUUAAAAAGGCUUAACUAUUAAUAAUUAGUAAACUCAUGAAACCAAUUUGAUUAUAAUGUGCUUUUGAUAAAUUGCCAUUUUGAUUUGCUAGCAGAACACUGUUGUGAACUCUCAGUUAUUGAUUUGGUUUAUAUUUUGUGAUGUAGUUUGCAAGUCCAGUAGACAAAAAACAAAAUAUUAUAUAAAGAACAAGAAAAAAUGUAAAAAAAAAGAAAAGAAAAGACAAAAAAAAUGGGAGCAGCAUUUUUUAAAGAUAGAUAUUUACAUGUAGAUGCUUCUUGUAGACAUUUGCUACAUGGCUUUUAGUUAUACAUUACCUCUUCUUGUGUAGCUCGUAUAUUCCACAUUCUACCAAAGAAUUUGUUAUUGUGUAUCCUUUUUUGGCUUGAAGUAUAAACCUCCUUGUGUGUAUUUUACAAAUCUUGAAGCUUUUAGCAUAUUUUUAUUUUUAUUAUUUGCAACAAGGUGUUUGGUUUGUAAUCAUUAUUGUUGUUAUUGCUAUUAUGAUUAUGAUGAUAAUGAUGAUUUUUUUUCUAUUUGAUUAUUAUUUGAAGUUUCUAAUUGGUAAAAAACUCUGGCUUUAACACUGUCCAUGUAUCUUUUUAUCUAUAUUUUUUUCUGUGAAGUUAGUUGUAUUAUUGUCAAGGCAUUGUUUUGUCAAUUUGUGAUCAUGUCAUUUAAAAAGAAAAGAAAAAAAAAUUGUAAUUCAAGAAUAUUUUUUUUUUUGUCUUUUUUUUAGGAAACUUUCUCUGUUGAAAACUGUUUUGUAGCUCUGAUAAUAUGAUUUAGGCAACUAAGUAGCAUGCUUCUAUUUGUUAUGGAUGUGGAAGGGUCUUCAGUACUCCUAUGUGAAUUUGUUUUUUGUGUGUUUCAUUUUUUCUGGAGGCAGACAGCAAUAUCGACUCCACAGUAUAAUCUGUUCUCCAUUGCCAGUGAGGUUGUGGUGCAUGUUUCAUGGUUUUUAAUGUAAGCCUCAAGAGCAAUCAUGGUAAAAGUAGCUGCAAUGGCAACAUAUACGCUUGUGGAACUAAAUCUCAUUAGCUUGGGUCAUCCUCUUAUUGCAGCAUUUGCCUGCCUAGUACUAUAGUACAAGUGUUUAUUGGCUUGUAUUUUGGCCCAGGGGAGUGUCAAUCAGGCCCCCUUGGG